CUACGGGGCGCUCCAGUCGAGAAUCUUCCGCAAUGGGCGAAAGCCUGACGGAGCAAUGCCGCGUGCAGGAUGAAGGCCUUCGGGUCGUAAACUGCUGUCACCGGGGAUGAAUAAUGACAGUACCCGGGGAGGAAGUCACGGCUAACUACGUGCCAGCAGCCGCGGUAAUACGUAGGUGACAAGCGUUGUUCGGAUUUAUUGGGCGUAAAGGGUUCGUAGGAUGUUGAUUAAGAUUGGUGUGAAAUCCCAAGGCUCAACCUUGGAACUGCAUUGAUUACUGAUGAACUAGAGUGUCGUAGAGGAAAGCGGAAUUCCAGGUGUAGCGGUGGAAUGCGUAGAUAUCUGGAAGAACACCGACAGCGAAGGCAGCUUUCUGGGCGAUAACUGACUCUGAGGAACGAAAGCAUGGGGAGCAAACAGGAUUAGAUACCCUUGUAGUC
rnacentral:rRNA from 1 species